UAUAUAUAUAUAUACAGCUAAAACCUUAAAAAAAUAAAAACUAAAACUCUAAGCGCGAAAAGGGCAAUGGGAACACAUAGUGUUUGCCGUAUUUAGUUAGAAAGAUUUAAUAAUUUGUCAUAAUCCUUGUGCAUAUUUAUUUACAUUAGAACCCAAGCUUUCGCGGUUCACACAAUAUAUUACCCUAUUAUUAUUAUUGAAAAUCACCGACAUAGGAUCAAAGUGGGCGUUGUCACUCGCUGACCCAAUCAGCUGUCUGGGUUCUGUACCACCUGACCUGUUCCGAGCGUGAGGAAUCUUAUGACAUAACGGCCUCGAUAAAAUAUUUUAAGGACACAUUUGUGCCAUAUAAGGAAGUUGGGGACACGUUUGUGCCAUAUAGAUGAAAUAAUUGGAUGAUCUUACCUUAUUUAUUAUUGGUGAAAAUCACCGACGUAAUAUAUCGUGUGAACCGCGAAAGCUUGGAUUCUAACACUAAUGUAAAGAAACAUGACGGAUUUUUAAAAUAUACAGUAUUUGCGUGUAAAUGUUUUAUGGAUUUAGAAGCACUAUCAAGCCAGAUAUUGAAUGGUCCAGGUGCCGUACACUUUAUUUUAACUGCUAUUUAGAUAGAAUGCUAUUGUUGUCAAAUUGAAUCGGCCCUAAAGCCCGUGCAUACAGCCACGAUUUGCGAU
rnacentral:lncRNA from 1 species